CCGAAUGGGGAAACCCACCGCUGGUAAUACGGCGGUAGCGUGCGCUGAAUACAUAGGCGUACGCGGACAAGCCGGGGAACUGAAACAUCUCAGUACCCGGAGGAAAGGAAAUCAACCGAGACUCCCCGAGUAGUGGCGAGCGAAAGGGGAAUAGCCCAAACUCGGCCGGUGUAAGCGCGCACGCGUUGCCGGUCGGGGGUUGUAGGGCGCUCUG
rnacentral:rRNA from 1 species